rnacentral:rRNA from 1 species
GGGAGCUUGUACAGGUGCUGCAUGGCUGUCGUCAGCUCGUGUCGUGAGAUGUCGGUUAAGUCCGCUAACGAGCGCAACCCUCGCUGUGUGUUACAAGUGUCACACGGAACUGCCGGUCAUAAACCGGAGGAAGGUGGGAUGACGUCAAGUCAGCAUGGCCUUUAUAUCCUGGGCUACACACACGCUACAAUGGGAAGGGACAAUAGGUUGCGAAGCCGCGAGGCGGAGCCAAUCCAGCAAAACUUCCCUCAGUUCAGAUUGCAGGCUGCAACCCGCCUGCAUGAAGUUGGAGUUGCUAGUAAACGCAGGUCAGCCAUACUGCGUUGAAUACGUUCCCGGGGCUU